GCCCCAAGAUUCAAGGGAGAAAGUAAAGGGAAAGGAAGGGGAAAGAGGAGAAAACGGAUUAAGGAGAACGAGAGGACCAAGAAGAGGUGCACAUCAUCAUCUUCCCCAUCAUUAGAUCGUCGCCCUUCAAGGGGAACCCAAAGGUGGUGCACCAUUGGAUCACGCCUAACUCAUGUUCUCUUGAUCUUCAUCAAAGGAAAGCAAACGUAGCCGUGGUUUUUGCUAAAGCUUUGACUUGUUAUUUAUUCUGCCUACACAUU